AUGGAAGGAUGGGCAGUCGCAAGAGCGAAAGCUCUUGAGGAAAGUCCGAACUCCUUGGAACAGCCCGCUUCCUAACAGGAAGGCAGCGAGCCAGUUUGGCUGGCGAGCUGACGGAAAGUGCCACAGAGAAUAGUCUGCCAAUCCGGCUUGCAUCUUUUGCAAGCGGCACGGAGGCGAUGGUGAAACGGUGGGGUAAGAGCCCACCAGCACUUCGGGUGACCGAAGUGGCUCGGCAAACCCCGGGCGGAGCAAGGUCAAAUAGGGAAGCAUUGGGCUUUGNCCAGCCGGGUUGUUCCACCGGUAAACUCUUCGGAGUUUGUGCUUCCGGGUAGACCGCUUGAGGGCAUUGGCAACAAUGCUCCNAGAUAAAUGACUGCCUCCACCAAUCUUUUUGGUGCAGACAGAAUUCGGCUUACAAUCCUUUCAUCGNG
rnacentral:RNase_P_RNA from 1 species